CCUUAAUAUCAGUCAGGCUUGUAGCAGAAGAAACCGCAAAGUAACCCUUUGAAUUUACUCCUUUCUCUUGGCUUCCUCAAUCUGAACGUCUUCCGUAAACUCCGCCCCUCUCCCCAGUAUCUUCCCGUUUUUCCUUGCCCUAACCACGGACACUCUUAGACCAGGCAAGUGGAUCUCAAACCGAGAUCGGGGCUGACCGAGACAAUCACCCGUGCGUCAACUUGUCCUCGCUUUCCGAGCAAGGGGAGGUGGAAUGCGGCCUGGAUCUGCGUCUGACCCAACCGGGCUCCGCCGCCCAGUCUGGGACCUGGGGCGAAUUCCUCUAGCUCUCCCCGCUUUCAUUUCCUCCCCUGGGAAAGGAGAUAACCACCAUCCUCCCUGGGUUGUUUUGCUGCCCAAGUGAGAUCAUUCAUAGAAAAGCAUUUUGUAAGUCAUCAAGAGCUAAACGAAACACACACGACAGUGGCAGCACCACGAUUGCACCCAAACGACUGGUGUCGCGCCCUUCAUCCCCACCACCCCAUCUUCUGGUCUCUUCUGCGCCGGAGACGCAGUCGCGCACGGUGACUGCACACACUGUCCUGGAUUCCGCGUCUGGGGCCACAGGCUUUCCCCGGGAGGACGGGCCGGAUGCGGAGGUUCUGGAGAAGAGAGCCUGGAUUCUCCAUGGUCAUCCCACGGACACUUCAGUAACCAAGAUGUAUGGGUACCAAAGAAGCACAUGAAAAGAGGCUCAACAUCAUGAGUCAUUAGGAAAAUAUAACCAGAGUAAGACACCAUGACACACCUAAAUGGUUAAAGUUGAAGAGACUGACCAGACCCAGCGUUGAAGUCGUAGAGCAAGUGGAACCCUCAUACACUCCUGGGGAGAAUGUAAAAUGGUACAACCACUUUGGAAACCAGUGUGGCAGUUUGUUCUAAAAAGUUAGCCAUGUAUACUGUUACGUGAUCCAGCCAUUGUACUCCUACAGAUUUACCCAGGAAAUGAAAGCAUACAUUCAUACAAAUAGGAAACAGUACAAAUGUCCAUCAACAGAUAAACGGAUAAACCAACUGUUAUAUGCAAACAAUAGAAUACUACUCGACAAUAAAAGAAAAAGGAUGAACCGUUGCUACUCCAUGGAUGAAUCUCAAAAUAAGUAUGCUGGGCAAAACCAGGCAAAAAAGAGUAUAUACUGUAUGAUUACAUUUAUAUAGAAUUCUAGAAAAUGUUAACUAAUAUAUGGUGAUAAGUCAAUCAGUGGUUGCCUGCAAAUGAGAGAGAAGUAAGGGAGGGCAGGAAGAAGAGAUUAUCAGGGGGCACAGGGAAAUUUGGGAGGGAGUCGUAGAUAAAUCCUUUAUUUUGAUUAUGGUCAUUCGUCAUGGUGUUUACAUAGGUCAAAACUUAUCAGGUUAUGCAUUUAAGUACGUACAGUUUAUUACAUUAUAAGUACAUACUUGUAUAAUGUACGUAAUUGCACAUUAGUAAAGUUGUUGAAGCCAAAAUUAGAACAAAAUUAAUGCACGGGAAAAAUGCAGUAAGUAAGGGGCAGGGAAACCACAGGGUUCCCCGAGGGCGCAGGACAGGGCUGUGCAUGCAAGUGGUGGUGGUCGGGUAAGGCUUCCCAGCGGGAGCCACCUGAGGACGAGUAAGUGUUGUCAGGCAGCAUGCGGGGUAGGAGAGGGUCUUUCCUAAGGAGGAGGAAAUGAGUGGGAGGACUCACAGGCCCGAAAGAACCUGAGGCUGGAACUGGGUGUGGCUGGAACUCAGGGCAGGGGGGCAGUAGUGAGCCAGGAAGACCAGGGAGAGAAGCCAGUGACCAAUUGUGAAUGUGGAUUUUCUCCUGAAGUCAAUGGAGAAAGACUACAGGCAAGCAAGGGGCUGUCAUAUGUGCAGUUUGUUUAAUUUUUUUAAAAAUAUUUUAUUGAUUGAUUGAUUGGUUUAUAGCAAGCAGGUGGAGGGAGAGAGAGAAUCCCAAGCAGACUCUGUGCUGAGCACAGAGCCCGACAUGGGGCUCAAUCCCUUGACCCUGAGAUCAUGACCUGAGCCGAAAUCAAGAGUCAGCAGCUUAACAGACGGCACCACCCAGGCACCCCGCAUGUGCGGUUUAGAAAGAUGGUCCAGCUGCACCCUGAGAAGUGGCCUGGAGUGGGGUAGAGGGCAGGUGGGAAUCUGGGUGUUGGUGAGGACAUUUAACCAGUGGGGAGUGGCCCAAGACAAGAACAGUUGGGAUAUGCCGCUUCCCCCACCCAUCUUUUCAGCACCCUGAAAAAUUGGGACAUUUGAUCCCUGCUUUACAGAAAAGGAAAGGAAAGGGACUUGGAGCAAUUAAGUAGCUUGCUUAUAGUGACACAGCUUUUGAGCAGGACAUCUGGGGUUUCCAGUCCGAUGGGUUCUGAAUCCGAAGUCCAUUAUGUUCACAGGCUUCUGUCUAAUUUAAAUAAAAGGCAUCUGGGAUGACUCCCCUCUCCCGCUGCCUGAUUUUCUCACUCUCACUGUGGUUUUUUCCAUGGGAGCAUGAAACAAAAGAUAUAACAUCGUCUGGGCAUUCAGGAAAGGAAGGCUUCCUGGAGGAAGAGACAUCUCAUCGGAGCCCUGAAGAAUUCUGAGGAAGAGGAAGAGCGAGUAAAGGAAUAAGGUGGGGGAGUGGGGCAGGAGAAGAAGGAGAAGACGUUCUGGAGUGGAAAGAAGAGCAUGUGUGACUGGCUGGGAGCAAGCUAUUAAGUGGAAUGCUUGAAGAACCGAGCCUCAGAGUGGCUGAAGAUGGUGUGAGAUCAGAGAGGCACACGAUUUGACGCUGACUUUUCACUCUCUGUGGAGCAGCUUACAGAGUGGAGCGCAUGGAAGAGAGGCCAGUAGGGUGAACCCUGUGGAUCUGUUGGUGAGAUCAUGCCCACCAGGCAUCUAUCUGCCUUACAGUGGUUACCAUGGAAACAUUAGAUGGUAGACCAAGAAGCGUCUAGUCAGCCCUUCUUAUUAAAGAUGAUGAGAAGGGGGCGCCUGGGUGGCACAGCGGUUGAGCGUCUGCCUUCGGCUCAGGGCGUGAUCCCAGCGUUGUGGGAUCGAGCCCCACA